AUUGAACGCUGGCGGCAGGCCUAACACAUGCAAGUCGAGCGGAGCGGCGGACGGGUGAGUAAUGCCUGGGAAUCUGCCUGGUAGUGGGGGAUAACGUCCGGAAACGGGCGCUAAUACCGCAUACUAGCAGAUGAGCCUAGGUCGGAUGAGCUAGUUGGUGGGGUAAAGGCCUACCAAGGCGACGAUCCGUAACUGGUCUGAGAGGAGGAUCAGUCACACUGGAACUGAGACACGGUCCAGACUCCUACGGGAGGCAGCAGUGGGGAAUAUUCGACAAUGGGCGAAAGCCUGAUCCAGCCAUGCCGCGUGAGUGAAGAAGGUUUUCGGAUUGUAAAGCACUGUUGGUGGGGAAGCGUUACCAACAGAGUAAGCACCGGCUAACUACGUGCCAGCAGCCGCGGUAAUUC
rnacentral:rRNA from 1 species